rnacentral:lncRNA from 1 species
GUUAUAUUUAUAUAAAUAUAUAUAUAUUGUUGGUUAAAAAAUAAAGUGUAAGAAGAGUUACACUUUUGAAAAUAACUUUUGGAAAAUAAAGUGUAAGAAGGGUUACACUUUUAAUGUGUGAAUUAAACACAUGAUUAAGUUUUGAAAUGUUACAAAACUUGAAAAGGUUGAGGAAGACAAUGAGUCUUCUCAUCUUUGUAACUUUAUAAACUUAAGAGGUUAAGUGUAAGAGAGUUACACAUUUGAGAUUAAAUCAUGUUUAAUGUGUGAAUUAAACAUAUGAUUUAAUUUUGAAUGUUACAAAGAUGAAGAGGUUGAGGAAGACAAUGAGUCUUCUCAUCUUUGUAACUUUAUAAACCUAAGAGGUUAAGUGUAAGAGAGUUACACAUUUGAGAUUAAAUCAUGCUUAAUGUGUGAAUUAAACAUAUGAUUUAAUUUUGAAUGUUACAAAGAUGAAGAGAUUGAGGAAGACAAUGAGUUUUUUCUCAUCCUUGUAACCUUUUUUCAACCCUAAGAGUGCUAUAUAUAUGACUUUUCUUCUUUUUGAAAUCUCAUGCAGAAAAGUGAAAAGGCUUGAUCAAUCCCAAGACUAUUUCCAUUUAGUUCCCAAAAGAUUUCUAGAGGUGGGAGGAAAUAGAGUCUUUGGACAAAGUUCCAAGAACUUGUUUGAGCCUUUCUUGUAUUCUUCUUCUUGUUGUUCUUAUUUUGUAUCUAAGAGAGUUUUAUUGUAUCAAAGUGAGUGUGUGAGAGUGUUUCCUUUCUCCAUUGUAUCCAAAUUUUCUCAACAAUCAAAGACUCUAUUCUCAAUGGAGGGAGAGACUAUCAAGAUUAUGAACCAAGACCUUGUGAGGUUGGAUCGUUUUGAUGGUUCCAACUUCACUAGGUGGCAAGACAAGGUGAGAUUCCUUCUCACAGCACUCAAGAUUUUCUACAUCCUUGAUCCUACCUUGGCACCAUUACCGGAACCAAAGGAAAAUGACACACCUCAAGUGGUGGCGGCAAGGAAGAAGAGGGAGGAGGAUGAGCUCAUAUGUAGGGGUCAUAUUUUGAACGCCUUAUCCGAUAGGCUAUAUGAUCUCUACACCAACACCAAUUCCGCGAGGGAGAUUUGGGAGGCUCUUGAAAACAAGUACAAAGCCGAGGAAGAAGGUACCAAAAAGUUUCUUAUUUCUCAAUACAUAGAUUUCAAAUUUUUUGAUGAAAAGCCUCUCUUACCACAAAUUCAUGAGUUGCAAGUAAUUGUGAAUAAGUUGAAAGUUCUCAAAAUUGAACUUCCGGAGGCCUUCCAAGUUGGUGCUAUUGUGGCUAAAUUACCAUCAAGUUGGAAAGGUUACCGGAAGAGGAUUCUCCACAAGAGUGAAGAUUACUCCUUGGAGGAGAUUCAAAAACAUCUUCGCAUUGAAGAAGAAUCGAGAUCAAGAGACAAAAUGGUAGAAGAGUCCAAUGGUGGGACUAACAAAGCCAAUGCGAUUUCAAAGGCCAAUCAUCCUAGAGGUAAAAAUAACAACAACAAAAAGAAUUCCGGAAAUUAUAUGAGCCCUAAGAAAAAUCAAGAGCAAUUUAAGGGCAAGAAAGGUCCUUGUUUUGUGUGUGGAAAACCCGGGCAUUAUGCUAGGGAGUGUAGGUUCCGAAAGGACCAAAAAGGGGCUGUGGUGAAUGCAAUUGAUGAGGAGAUCAUUGCAACACUAAGCGAUGUGUGCGUUGUCCAAGGAAAGGUGCAAGGAUGGUGGUAUGAUACUUGUGCCACAGUUCAUGUUACCUAUGACAAAUCUCUUUUCAAGACCUUUGAAGAUGCAAAGGGAAAUCAAGAGGUUCAAAUGGGCAAUGAAGGAAAAUCCAAGGUGCUUGGCAAGGGCACUAUUGAAGUUGUUUUUACCUCCGGCAAAAAGGUUACCCUUACAAAUGUAUUGUAUGUCCCCGAUAUGAAUAAAAAUUUGGUUAGUGGGGAUUUGCUUGGCAAACCGGGUAUCAAAGCGGUGUUUGAAUCCGGUAAGCUAAUUUUAUCCAAAUCGGGGAACUUUGUGGGAAAGGGGUAUUCUUGUGAUGGGAUGAUCAAACUUUGUACCAAUGACAAUAUCAUUAAAAUGGCUUCUACUUCCGCUUAUAUGUGUGAUUCAAAUUCUUUAUUUUUGUGGCAUAAUAGGCUUGCACAUGUUGGUUUAAGCACUAUUAAAAGGAUUGUGAAAUGUGGUUUGAUUGCUUGUGAUACCAAAAAAUUUGAAAAAUGUGAAAUAUGUGUUAAAUCAAAGAUGAUUAAAAAGCCUUUUCAUAGUGUUGAGAGAUCAUCUAAUUUGCUUGAUUUAGUACAUAGUGAUCUUUGUGAACUUAAUGGCAUGUUAACAAAAGGUGGAAAUAGGUAUUUUAUUACAUUCAUAGAUGAUUGUUCUAGAUUUACCUAUGUGUUUUUGUUGAAAAACAAAAGUGAAACUUUCAAUGCCUUUAAAGUUUACAAAACCGAAGUUGAAAAUCAACUAGGAAAAAAUAUUAAGGUGCUUAGAAGUGAUAGAGGUGGUGAAUAUUUCUCUAGUGAAUUCAAUUCUUUUUGUGAAGAAUAUGGCAUAAUACAUGAGUGCACCGCACCCUAUACACCUCAACACAAUGGCAUAGCGGAGAGAAAGAAUAGAACAUUCUUGGAAAUGGUGAAUGCUAUGUUAUUGCAUGCUAAAUUGAAUUUCAAUUUGUGGGGUGAAGCUUUGUUUACUGCUUGCCAUAUUUUGAAUAGAAUUCCUAUGAAGAAAAAUGAGAUAUCUCCAUAUGAGUUAUGGAAAAGAAGGAAGCCUAAUAUAGGUUACUUCAAAGUGUGGGGGUGUCUUGCUUAUUGCAAGAAAACGGAUCCAAAUAAAACAAAAUUGAGUCCAAGAGCCAUUAAGUGUGCAUUUGUAGGCUAUGCCUCAAAUAGCAAAGCUUAUAGGCUAUUAGACUUGGAGUCUAAUGUGAUAAUUGAAUCAAGAGAGGUAGAGUUCUUUGAGAAUUUGUUGAGUGAUAGCAAUUCUCAAGUACCUACUAGUGUUGGAGAGUCUCUAGAGGAGACACCUUCAAAAGUUAUUGAGCAACCCAUUGUGCCUCGGAAAAGCCAAAGAGCUAGAAAAGAGAAAGUGUUGGGAUCGGAUGAGAUUGACUCUCAAAGAAUUUCCUUCUACUUAGUAGAAGGAAAUAGAGAAGAUAUUAUAAGAAAAAUUCCUAUAGUACUUCAAAUAGAGGAGGAUCCCAAAACAUACAAAGAAGCUAUGGCUUCUAGAGAUGUUGCUUUUUGGAAAGAGGCUAUCAAUGAUGAAAUGGAUUCAAUUAUGUCCAACCAAACAUGGGAAUUGGUAGACCUUCCACCAGGAUCUAAACCAAUAGGGUGCAAGUGGGUAUUUCGAAGGAAAUAUCACACCGAUGGCAUGAUUCAAACCUUUAAGGCUAGAUUAGUAGCUAAGGGGUUUAAACAAAGAGAAGGUAUUGAUUAUUUUGAUACCUAUGCGCCGGUGGCUAGAACAACAUCGAUUAGGAUAUUGUUUGCUUUGGCAUCAAUUCAUAAUCUAUUUGUUCAUCAAAUGGAUGUCAAAACGGCAUUCUUGAAUGGGGAUCUCAAUGAGGAGGUCUACAUGGAACAACCGGAAGGUUUUGUUCUACCGGGGAAUGAAAACAAAGUGUGUAAGCUUGUCAAAUCAUUAUAUGGUUUAAAACAAGCUCCCAAACAAUGGCACGAAAAAUUUGAUCAUGCUANNNNNNNNNNNNNNNNNNNNNNNNNNNNNNNNNNNNNNNNNNNNNNNNNNNNNNNNNNNNNNNNNNNNNNNNNNNNNNNNNNNNNNNNNNNNNNNNNNNNAAGUGAAAAGAAAUAGUGGGGGGUUAUGCUUUGAACCAAACCCACUAUAUUGAGAAAGUAGUUAGCAAAUUUAGUCAUCUCAAGAUUAAAGAUGCUAAUACUCCAUUUGAUUCAAGUAUAAAACUUGAAAAGAAUGAUGGUAGAUCGGUGGCUCAACUUGAGUAUGCAAGUGCAAUUGGAAGUCUUAUGUAUGCUGCUCAGUGUACUAGGACUGACAUUUCAUUUGCAGUUAGUAAACUAAGUAGGUUUACUAGCAAUCCAAGCGUGGAACAUUGGAAAGCUAUUGGUAGAGUUCUUAGUUACCUAAGAAAUACCAAAGAACUAAGCCUCCAAUAUUCAAAGUUUCCUGCUAUAAUUGAAGGGUAUUCAGAUGCAAGCUGGAUAUCGAGUGUGGGAGAUAAUUUAUCUACCACAGGUUGGGUGUUUACACUUGGUGGUGGGGCUGUCUCUUGGGGAUCCAAGAAACAGACUUGUAUAUCACACUCAACCAUGGAGGCAGAGUUUAUAGCUCUAGCUGCAACUAGAAAAGAAGCUGAGUGGCUUAGGGAUCUCAUGAUGGACAUCCCUUUUACUGCAAAUAAUGUGUCAACAGUGUCGAUACAUUGUGACAGUCAAGCCACUCUAGCUCGUGCGUACAGUGGAGUGUACAAUGGGAAGUCUAGACAUAUAAGCAUUAGACAUGAGUAUGUAAGACAAUUGAUUCAAAAUGGAAUCAUCUCAAUCUCAUUUGUGAGGUCAAGUGGAAACUUGGCGGAUCCUUUUACUAAACCUCUUACAAGAGAUUUAGUAAGGAUAACAUCUAGAGGGAUGGGACUAAAACUCCUUAAAUAAAACUCACCAAUGAUGGUAACCCAACUUAAUACUACGAAAUGACUAGUCUUAAGUUCAAUGGGUAAAAACAAGUCAUUGAUAAGUGGGUUGUGGCAGCAUUAGAACAUGUGAGUUCCAUCUGUGAUGAUUAAUGCUGGUUGUUACCGUUGGAGGGUUAAGCUUAAAGCUUUUAAUGAAAUUCAGUCUAUGUGUGACAAGCAUCUUAAAGGUAACAAGGAUGCUGGAAGAAUUUCACCUAUGUGAACUUAGGGGUGGUGCCGCCUCUCAUGAGAGUAGGAGUUUCUUUCAAGAAAGUUCAUGAAUGGAUUGAGCACAUGGCCAUAAAAGUGCUAAGCAAGAAAAUAAUGGGCACUCGUGUGGUUAGUGGAAGUGUGUGUGUUGUUACCGGUUUCGUUACAAGGAAUAAUUGGUUCAAUGCUACAAGCAACCUGGGAUUUCAACGGAGCUUUGUGACAAUUACACUAAGAUAAAAUUCAAAUCGAAAGAUAUUUUAUUUUAUGCAUUUUCACUGUUAAGGUUAUAAGGGUUUAUGUUUAUUUUUAACCAAGUGGGGGAUUGUUAUAUUUAUAUAAAUAUAUAUAUAUUGUUGGUUAAAAAAUAAAGUGUAAGAAGAGUUACACUUUUGAAAAUAACUUUUGGAAAAUAAAGUGUAAGAAGGGUUACACUUUUAAUGUGUGAAUUAAACACAUGAUUAAGUUUUGAAAUGUUACAAAACUUGAAAAGGUUGAGGAAGACAAUGAGUCUUCUCAUCUUUGUAACUUUAUAAACUUAAGAGGUUAAGUGUAAGAGAGUUACACAUUUGAGAUUAAAUCAUGUUUAAUGUGUGAAUUAAACAUAUGAUUUAAUUUUGAAUGUUACAAAGAUGAAGAGAUUGAGGAAGACAAUGAGUUUUUUCUCAUCCUUGUAACCUUUUUUCAACCCUAAGAGUGCUAUAUAUAUGACUUUUCUUCUUUUUGAAAUCUCAUGCAGAAAAGUGAAAAGGCUUGAUCAAUCCCAAGACUAUUUCCAUUUAGUUCCCAAAAGAUUUCUAGAG